CUGCUGCCUCCCGUAGGAGUUUGGGCCGUGUCUCAGUCCCAAUGUGGCCGGUCACCCUCUCAGGUCGGCUACUGAUCGUCGGCUUGGUAGGCCGUUACCCCACCAACUACCUAAUCAGACGCGGGUCCAUCUCAUACCGUCAAGGCUUUGGCCCCUGUGCCAUGCGGCACUGUGGUCUUAUGCGGUAUUAGCAGUCAUUUCUAACUGUUAUCCCCCUGUAUGAGGCAGGUUACCCACGCGUUACUCACCCGUCCG
rnacentral:rRNA from 1 species